AUGGCUUAAUUGGUAGAGCACCUGUCUAGCAUGUAUGAGAUUCUGAGUUCAAACCUCAGU
rnacentral:tRNA from 1 species